CAGAUUUCCAGAUGCUUGAAUUGAUGUUCCUGAAAUGUAGCUGCUCCUGCGGGAAAGGAUUGUUCAGUCCCAAGGAGUAAGACUUAGGGAGGCUCUGUUCCUGGACACUUGGACAUUCCAAAAAUUGUGUAAACAAGUCUCAUCAGAAGCCCAUUUUGAAGCCCUAAUCACCCCCCCAACCCCCUCCCUUAUAAAACUGAUACAUAAUAAACCUUUACGCCUA